CCAAAAUGACAGGAAAUUCUUAGCUAGUCCGGACUACAAUGUCAGCUUGUAGUCCUAGCUGACCUUGUAGUCCCAGCCAUAAAUAAAAUACACCUUAUUAAAAACUGAUGACAUAAGCUUAUCUUCCAUGUCAUUCCACUGCAAUUUGAUAUUCUAACGUCCGUUUAACCUGUCAAUUCUGAGAUAGAUUCAAAUUAGCAAAUUCAAAUUUGAGAUGAAAAUGGGCGGGUAUUGAAAUUUUCACAUUGAAAACUUCCAAAUUGGUUUAUGGAAUAUCAGAAUACGUUUUCCUCUUCCAUGGGAUCAUUUUCCACAAAUGCCAAACAAAAUGUAUUUCUGUCAAAGUUGGGUCAUCUUCUACAAUUCCCACUUGGCAACGACGGCAACCUCGACACUUGCCCUCUCAUCGCUUCACCUUUCCUCCCCGUAAUCCGUGGCCUUUUCAUCGUAGAUAGAAAAAUGCUUUAAUGGGAAAUCCAAAAUCCUUCUAGAUGCUAAGACAAACUUGGAAGACUCUUCUUUAGAGAAAGGGAGUCUCAACUUACCAAGGAUGAAGAUGAGGAUGAGCAAUAGGGCAAGGAUGAGGAUCAACAAGUUGAACAUGAAUAAGCUGUCAUUAUCGGCUUUGGAUGAGAUGGAUAAGUGAUGAAGUUCAAGAUUGAAGGCUAGCUGGUCUCUUUAGCCAGUAGGAUUCAUUUGUUGGAGAUAGAAAUUAUUAACAACUUAUUUCAUAAACUUUUGGAAGUGUAAAGGAUAGGAUUACACUAUUUGCUAGUUAGAUGUUAUCAAGUUUAUGUUAUUAGUUGGGUGCCUAUCAUCAA